UACAGAGGGGGCAAGCGUUGUUCGGAAUUACUGGGCGUAAAGCGUGCGCAGGCGGUUCGUCGUGUCCGAUGUGAAAGCCCUGGGCUCAACCUGGGAACGGCAUUGGAAACUGGCUUACUAGAGUGCGGUAGAGGGGUGUGGAAUUCCCGGUGUAGCAGUGAAAUGCGUAGAUAUCGGGAGGAACAUCUGUGGCGAAGGCGACACCCUGGACCAGCACUGACACUGAGGCACGAAAGCGUGGGGAGCAAACAGG
rnacentral:rRNA from 1 species